AUUGAACGCUGGCGGCAGGCCUAACACAUGCAAGUCGAACGGUAACAGGAAGAAGCUUGCUUCUUUGCUGACGAGUGGCGGACGGGUGAGUAAUGUCUGGGAAACUGCCUGAUGGAGGGGGAUAACUACUGGAAACGGUAGCUAAUACCGCAUAACGUCGCAAGACCAAAGAGGGGGACCUUCGGGCCUCUUGCCAUCGGAUGUGCCCAGAUGGGCUUAGCUGGUAGGUGGGGUAACGACUCACCUAGGCGACGAUCCCUAGCUGGUCUGAGAGGAUGACCAGCCACACUGGAACUGAGACACGGUCCAGACUCCUACGGGAGGCAGCAGUGGGGAAUAUUGCACAAUGGGCGCAAGCCUGAUGCAGCCAUGCCGCGUGUAUGAAGAAGGCCUUCGGGUUGUAAAGUACUUUCAGCGGGGAGGAAGGGAGUAAAGUUAAUACCUUUGCUCAUUGACGUUACCCGCAGAAGAAGCACCGGCUAACUCCGUG
rnacentral:rRNA from 1 species